rnacentral:rRNA from 1 species
UACGAGAGCGGCAGACGGGAGAGUAACACGUGGGAACGUGCCCUUUGGUUCGGAAUAACUCAGGGAAACUUGAGCUAAUACCGGAUAAGCCCUUACGGGGAAAGAUUUAUUGCCAAAGGAGCGGCCCGCGUCUGAUUAGCUAGUUGGUGAGGUAACGGCUCACCAAGGCGACGAUCAGUAGCUGGUCUGAGAGGAUGACCAGCCUCACUGGGACUGAGACACGGCCCAG